rnacentral:rRNA from 1 species
UGGGGAAUUUUGGACAAUGGGCGCAAGCCUGAUCCAGCCAUGCCGCGUGCGGGAAGAAGGCCUUCGGGCUGUAAACCGCUUUUGUCAGGGAAGAAAUCUUCUGAGUUAAUACCUCGGGAGGAUGACGGUACCUGAAGAAUAAGCACCGGCUAACUACGUGCCAGCAGCCGCGGUAAUACGUAGGGUGCAAGCGUUAAUCGGAAUACUGGGCGUAAAGCGUGCGCAGGCGGUUUUGUAAGACAGAGGUGAAAUCCCCGGGCUCAACCUGGGAACUGCCUUUGUGACUGCAAGGCUUGAGUGCGGCGGAGGGGGAUGGAAUUCCGCGUGUAGCAGUGAAAUUGCGUAGAUAUGCGGAGGAAACACCGAUGGCGAAGGCAAUCCCCCUGGGGCCUGCACUGACGCUCAUGCACGAAAGCGU